UAAUAUACUAUUUUAGUGUGGAGUGAAUGCCUUGGAAGAAAAAUAUAGGCGCGGACAAUCGCGAAAGUGUUGACACGAGGAAAGCCUGUGACGUCAACCAACCUAAAAUGGGAAACCGGGGCUAAAAAGCCCGCUGCUUAGGCAGUAUCAAGGGGAAGUGAAACAUCUCAGUACCCUGUAGACCAAAUCAACCGAGAUAUCGUUAGUAGUGGUGAGCGAAAGCGAUAAAAAGGCAAAACGAAAAUUUUAUUAUUAAGAAUGAAAAGAAGUUUUGUUUUUCAAUGAAAUUUCUACCUUAGAAGGUGUUAGUCCUGUAAUUCUUUUUUUUUUUGUGAAAGUAAGACGAGGCAAGUUUACCUUGUCUGAGUAUUGGGGGACCACCCUCAAAGCCUAUAGUUAUUUUUCUUACCGAUAGUGAACAAGUACCGUGAGGGAAAGGUGAAAAAGAAGUUGCGACAGUGCAAAGAUCCUGAAACUCCAUAUUUGAGUCGGAGCUAUAAAAAGCAACGGCAUACCUUUUGUAUAAUGGGCAAGUGAAUCUUAAUAAAGGGCAAGCUUAAGCUAAUAAAAGUGUAGGCGAAGAGAAAUCGAGUCCUAUGUGGCAUCCUAAAGUCCUUUGUUAAGUACCCGAAACCGGCUGAUCUAAACUUGAGCAGGCUGAUAUUGUAGUGGCAACAUUCUUUGGAGGGCCGAACCCGUGUAUGUGGCAAAAUACUGGGAUGACUUGAGUUUAGGGGUGAAAGGCCAAUCAAAGUCGGUGAUAGCUGGAUUUCUGCGAAAUCUAUUGAAGUAGAGCGUCCUAAACAGUAAAUCUGGGGUAGAGCACUGUAUAAGCAAGGGGGAGAUCUUCUCUUACUAAACUUUGGCAAACUCCGAAUACAGAUUUUUCAUUUAGGGCAGACAGAGUAUGUAUGCUAAGAUUCAUACUCAAGAGGGAAACAGCCCAGACUGUAGGCUAAGGUCCACAAAAUAGUUUCAGUGGUAAAGGUGAUAUCUGCUCUGAGACCGUCAGGAGGUAGGCUUGGAAGCAGCCAUCCUUUUAAGACAGCGUAACAGCUCACUGACCUAGAGUAGAAGUCCCGCCAAUUUUGAGGGCUUAAAACUAUUACCGAAGCCUCAGACAAAAAUGUUAAGAUAAUUAAAAACUCUUAUAUUUUGUGGUAGCAGAACAUUCCGUAGGUCAUAGAAGUUUUGACGUAAGUUAAGAUCAAGAUAUCGGAAGCGAGAAUACUUGCAUGAGUAGCAUAAAACAAUGAAAUUAAAGCAUUGUGGCCGUAAGUCCAAGGUUUACGAUCUUAAGUAAAACUGGGUCGUGAGAGGGUAACACCUCGAUUUAAAACGGUCCCUAAGCUGUUAAGCCAAAGCUUGCAGUAAUGGGUAAGAUUAAACUGUUAAAAGUUGCUGACGAAAAAUUCACCUUAUUCUUGAAUUUGUCAAGAGUGAGUUAUUUUUUCCAAGAAAAAGGCACUUUAUUUAUACCGUACCUUAAACCGCCUCAGGUGGACGGGUGGAGAACACUAAGGCCUUGAGAUAACCCUGUUGAAGGAACUCGGCAAAAUGACUCUGUAACUUCGGAAUAAGGAGUAAAGGCAUGUAGCGCAAGCUUUUGUCUUUGUCACAAAAUCGGGGGUGGCGACUGUUUAUUAAAAACACAGGUCUCUGCUAACUCGUAAGAGGAUGUAUAGGGACUGACACCUGCCCGGUGCCGGUAGGUGAAGCUUUGAUGUUUACGCAUUGAGGUCAAACCCCGGUAAACGGCGGCUGUAACUAUGACGGUCCUAAGGUAGCGAAAUUCCUUGUCGGGUAAGUUCCGACCCGCAUGAAUGGUGUAACGACUUCCCCGCUGUCUCCAACAGGGACUCAGUGAAAUUACAUAGGUCGUGAAGAUGCGACCAUCCCACAGCUGGACGGAAAGACCCCGUGCACCUUUACUAUAAGCAAAUAUUGUAGGUCAAAGACUCUAGUGUAGAAUAGGUGGGAGCUUAUGAUUCUUUCUCGUCAGAGUCUGAUGAGGCGAUAGUGAAAUACCACCCCGAGAUCUGUUGGCUUACUAACUAAGGGACAGUGUUUGCUGGGUAGUUUGACUGGGGCGGUCGCCUCCUAAAGAGUAACGGAGGCAUACAAAGGUAGGUUCAUCUCCUUCUAAGGGGAAUUGAGUAUAAUGGUAUAAACCUGCUUGACUGAAAGAAAGACAUUUCGAUCAGAGACGUAAGUCGGUCAUAGUGAUCCGGUGGUUCUUUGUGGAAAGGCCAUCGCGCAAUGGAUAAAAGGUACGCCGGGGAUAACAGGCUAAUGAUCCUCUAGAGCCCCUAUCGACGGGUUCGUUUGGCACCUCGAUGUCGACUCAUCACAUCCUGGAGCUGGAAAAGGUUCCAAGGGUUCGGCUGUUCGCCGACGAAAGUGGUACGUGAGUUGGGUUUAGAACGUCGUGAGACAGUUUGGUCCCUAUCUUCUGUGGGUGUUUGAAAAUUCCGAGGACUAGACCUUAGUACGAGAGGACCGGGAAAACUCGAUCCCUUGUGUUCCGGUUGUUCCCUAAGGGGCAUCGCCGGGUAGCUACAUCGAGAAGAGAUAAUCGACCGUUAGGCGAGAAACUCUCCUCUAGUAAAGUUUUCUAAAGGGGGUGGAAGAUUACCACUUUGAUAGGCGGGAGGUGUAAGAGCUGUAAGGUUUUCAGCUGACCCGUACUAAUCCCUAGAAAAAUAAAAUUAUAUAGUUUUUGC
rnacentral:rRNA from 1 species